rnacentral:misc_RNA from 1 species
GGAAAGCAGCCUUAUAACACUGAAAAGGUUGCACAGGAGGCUAUCAGGGAUCCACACUUGUACACUUUUUUAUUUCGCAAAGGAAAAUUAGAGGUUUCCGAGGUAUUCAAUUUCUCUCAAGAUGAUCUACUCACCGAGGAUAUGUUGAUACUCGACACCCAUGCUGAGGUCUUCAUUUGGGUUGGGCAGUCUGUGGAUUCCAAGGAAAAACAAAAGGCUUUCGAUAUCGGCGAGAAAUACAUAGAGCUUGCAACAUCUCUAGAAGGUUUGCCUCGUGAUGUGCCCCUUUACAAGGUCAUGGAAGGGAAUGAACCAUGUUUCUUCACAACUUACUUCUUAUGGGAUAGCACAAAGGCAACAGCUCAAGGAAAUUCCUUUCAGAAGAAGCUCUCAUAUCUAUUUGGAAAAGUGAUGCAUUCAUCAAAGGCUAGUGGCAGGUCCAACAACACAAAUAAUGGACCAACUCAGCGAGCAUCAGCUCUAGCAGCCCUAUCUUCUGC